rnacentral:rRNA from 1 species
GACGAACGCUGGCGGCGCGCCUAACACAUGCAAGUCGAACGAGAGAGAGGGAGCUUGCUUCCUCAAUCGAGUGGCGAACGGGUGAGUAACGCGUGAGGAACCUGCCUCAAAGAGGGGGACAACAGUUGGAAACGACUGCUAAUACCGCAUAAGCCCACGACCCGGCAUCGGGAAGAGGGAAAAGGAGCAAUCCGCUUUGAGAUGGCCUCGCGUCCGAUUAGCUAGUUGGUGAGGUAACGGCCCACCAAGGCGACGAUCGGUAGCCGGACUGAGAGGUUGAACGGCCACAUUGGGACUGAGACACGGCCCAGACUCCUACGGGAGGCAGCAGUGGGGAAUAUUGCACAAUGGGGGAAACCCUGAUGCAGCGACGCCGCGUGGAGGAAGAAGGUCUUCGGGAUUGGUAAACUCCUGUUGUUGAGGAAGAUAAUGACGGUACUCAACAAGGAAGUGACGGCUAACUACGUG